GACAGAGGAUGCAAGCGUUAUCCGGAAUGAUUGGGCGUAAAGCGCUUGUAGGCGGCACGUCAAGUCGCGUGUGAAAUCCCCAGGCUUAACCUGGGAAGUGCGCGCGAAACUGACGAGCUUGAGUGCCGGAGAGGGUCGCGGAAUUCCCGGUGUAGAGGUGAAAUUCGUAGAUAUCGGGAGGAACACCAGUGGCGAAGGCGGCGACCUGGACGGACACUGACGCUGAGACGCGAAAGCGUGGGGAGCAAACAGG
rnacentral:rRNA from 1 species